GGACUGCAAACAGCUGUCAUCAUUUUAUCUCUGCUUCUGCUCCUGUCCGUUGUCUUCGUCGGUGUGCUCUACAAAAAGAGAGGAAACAAAUCAACACAUAUACCUAUUGGAGAUAUAGUGGACAUAGAGACUAUGAGACAAGCUGAAGAUUUCGUGGAUAUAGAGACUAUAGAG